UCUGCUCAGUGAUUUUUAAACAGCCGCGGUAUAUUGACCGUGCAAAGGUAGCAUAAUAAUUAGUUUUUUAAUUGAAAGCUGGAAUGAAAGAUUUGACGAAAAAAAAUCUGUCUCUAAUUAAUUGAAUGAAUUUGUUUUUUUAGUGAGAAAACUAAAAUAAAAUUAAAAGACGAGAAGACCCUGUAGAUCUUUAUAACAAAUUAUAAAUUAUGCAUCAGUUUAAUUAAUUAAUUUAUAAUUUGUUAUUUUGUUGGGGUGACAGGAAAAUUAAAUAAACUUUUCUUUUUUGACUUAACAAUUAUUUUUGAUUAAAUGAUCCAAUUUUAUUGAUUAUAAGAUUAAGAUACCUAAGGGAUAACAGCGUAAUUUUUUUGGAGAGUUCAAAUCGAUAAAGAAGUUUGCGACCUCGAUGUUGGAUUAAAAUUUGCUUUUGGUGAAGUAGUUAAAAGUAUUGGUCUGUUCGACC
rnacentral:rRNA from 1 species